UCAAGAGUUUUUAAGUACUGGCAUGAGCCAGUGUGAAUGUGCUGAGGACACAAGGGAGGAGUUUCAUCAAUGUGAUUAGGCAUCUGUGUUUCCUAAUUGGUGCUUCUACCCUCCCUGGAGACUUGGAGAGAGAGGUGUGAUCUUCCUAAUUACAUUUCAAAGGGAUGGCUUUCAGGUCCUUGAGAAAGACAUUCCUGGGCUAUAGAAUUGGCAAGAGGCUGGGAGAACAUUUACAUCUCAAAGAGCAGAGAAAGAAUUUACAAUGGCAAGUUCUCUAAAGCACAUGCUCUAAGAAAAGAGAGGUCAGGGGCCCAUUAGUCAGGAAGAAAUCUUUGUAAAAUGUAGUGAGGAAAAGUUAGGGCCCUCGGAUCUAUGCAGACAGCUGUAUUAAAAACGGUAGCCAUCCAACCUCUUCCCCAUGCCUGACUUUUAUUUCCUCUCAUUAGCACCCCUGAUGUGCGGAACUUCUCAGUUUAUUAAUGUGUAGGGAGGCACAGCAUGAGACUUACAUCUGGAAGCUCAAAGCAAGCAGCUAUUCUUCAAAACUACAGUAACCAGGUUACUUUACAAGAGUCCCUCACCUACCAAAGAAGAGCUAAUCGAGUUUCUUUUCCUGCACGGCAAAGUUAUGUUCAGAUUUAAAACAGGAGCAAUACAAAUGGUCUGGUUGACAAUAACAAAGCCUAGGAGACUUGGACAAAUGUAGGUGAGUGGAGCCCACAGUCUGCCAUGUUGUGAGAUGUAAGAUUAACGAGGUUAGAAACUUCUGCUGCUUUUCGUGGAUGAUGAUUCUUCAUCAGGAAUUCACCUUCUCUCACCUGGGUCCCUUUGUGCCCAAUGCCAAACUGGGAAGACAGCUGGACUUGAAUAGAAGUGCAUACAAAAAAGCUUUCCCUGUGUGAGGCCUGUCGGCAGUACAGAGAUUGAACCAGAAACUUUGGCCUCAUUAGCCUCGUGUUCUACCAGCUGGCUCUAGGAAGAAUUAAUAUGCAACAUGAAAUGAUUUCUCUGAAUGAUCAGAAAUAAAAGAAAAUGGAUUUGAAUCAAAGUGUCUUUUUUACCUGAGUUAUAUUGUAUCCAAGGAAUCUUCAAAUUUCCUGCAUCAUAAAUCAUACAAUGGCACUAGACAUCUCACCAGAUGUCAGAUACACAACUUCAGGAAUAUCAUGUCGUGGGCUGUACAUAUCUGACUGUGGAGCUUUCUUUUUAAUUAUUAUUAUCAUAAAAACCUAGAAGUUUUGCCAGAGACUGUUACAGUGUUUUAAGCCCUUUUGAAGCUACAUUUGAAAAAGACUUCAAUCAUACCUUUAUUGAGACUACUUUUUUUUUUUUUUUUUUUUUGCGGUAAGCGGGCCUCUCACUGUUGUGGCCUCUCCCGUUGCGGAGCACAGGCUCCGGACGCGCAGGCUCAGCGGCCAUGGCUCACGGGCCCAGCAGCUCCGCGGCAUGUGGGAUCUUCCCGGAGCGGGGCACGAACCCGUGUCCCCUGCAUCGGCAAGUGGACCCCCAGCCACUGCGCCACCAGGGAAGCCCAAUUGAGACUACUUUUAAAAAACAAAAUCUUACAUGUAAACUUGAUAAAAGGAAAAGAUGUCUGAAACCCAAUAAACGUGGACAUUGUCCAGGAUUCCUUCUAGGUUCCCUUCUCCAUUUACUUUCUUAGACUUUCCACCUCCAGAGAAUGCUCAAAAUCGUUUUGGAAUCUUUUCUAAAUGCCAACCUUUCAUCUACUGCCUGGUGGAAUUUUCAAUUUGCAUAAAUCCUUCACUUCAUCAAAUUGCAGAGCAUCUCCCAUAAACUAUAUUAUUUCUUAAAGUGGCAUUCCCUUUUGACUUUUGUUUCUACUGGUACAGCUUCCUUUCCUCAAUCACUCAAGUUUAAUUCUAGGUCAUGACUGCUCGUCAGCUUUUUUCUUUCACUUGACUGUAUGCUCCCUAAGUACCGGAAUUGUCAUCCUUUUAUUCUCCAUUGCCUGCUGCAGUUCUUACCACACUGUAGUUGUUGAAUAAACAUUUCUGGAAUAAAUGAAUAUAUAUA